CUCUGCCACCUAGCCCUAUGUCCUUUCUACCUGUCCACUUCCCUUUCACCAUGUCUAUCAUUUGGAGGAUGGAACAUGCUGCUGCUGAGGUCUAGAAAGCAACAUUGUUGGUCACCUGUCUCUGCUGAAUUGAGUGGCACAAUGGGGACAAGGGAGCCAGCAGAGAAGCAGUAGUUGGAGAAGAAAAAUCAUUUAGGGCUGUAAAGGACAUCAAGAGAUCAAGUCCAGCCCCCCGAUGCUGAGGUAGGACCAGGAAAAGCUAGAUCAAUCCUCACAGCUGUUUGUCCAACCUGUUCUUAAAAACCUCCAAUGAUAGGGAUUCCAUAUCUAUUCUAUUCCAGACCAUAUCGAUCCUUACAGUUAGUGCAGAUUAAGCCCUAUCCUACCUUCAGCAGACGGAGAACAACUGAUCACAGUCCUCUUUAUAAGUCCUUAACAUAUCUGAUGACUUCUCAGGUCCCCCUUCAAUCUUUUCUCAAGAUUAAACAUGCCCUGUUUUUUUUUAAACCAUUCUCAUAAAUCAAGUGUUCUAAACCAUUUAUCAUUUUUGUUGUUCUCCUGUGGAUUCUCUCCAAUUUGUCCACAUCUUUCUUAACAUAUGGCACUGGACCCAGGCCUCACUAGUGCUGAGUAGAGCGGGACAAUUACCUCCCAUGUCUCACAUAUGACACUCUUGUUAACACAGCACAGCAUAUUAGCCUUCUUCACAACUGAAUCAUAACCCCCAGUUGCUUUUUAGCAGUACUACCACCUUAACAAUUAUUCCCUGUUUUGUAGUUGUAAAUUUGAUUUUUUUCUCUCUAAAGAAAAUACAAUGUAGUCCUCAUUGUCUGAAUACUAGGGGCCACAUGGAUUUUUUUUCAGAUAAGCGGGAGUUUGGAUAAGUGUGAGGACAGGAGCCAUUCAGCAGCCGGGUAGCCUCCCCCACAGCCAGGGGCUCAUCCUCCUCCUGGCAGUCCUGGCCCAGGGUCUCCGCUCAGCCCUGCUCAUUCACCCCCAGGACUCCAGAGCUGCAGGGGGCUCCCUGGUCUGCUACAGCGCCAAUGACCCCCAAUCCCUGAAAGCACACAGUGUGGGCUCUAGUUUGCCGUUCCGGCAGAUCAUAGUAGAGAGAGGGACACACUGCAGCCUCCCUCGUGCCUGCAGGGAUCAGGUACCAACAGCCCCCAGGACAGCAGGGUGACCUGUACAACUCCACUAUCACAGCCCCGCUCGCUCCUGCUUGGGGUGGCUGGGCUACCAAGAGCCAUUCCGCAGCAGGCUAGCCUGCCCCCGAGCCGGGGGUUUGCCCUCACCGUCCUGGCCAUAGGUCUCUGUGCCACGCGCUGUGGAGAGAAGGGGUUCGGGUUACUUGGCAGUUCCGAUCUCAGGGUUUUCGCCACCGGGAUCACGCGGCACUGCGCACUGGGCUGCACUGAAUUUCAUCUCCGUGAUUUCAGAGCAAUUCUCCAGCCUGCCCUCCCAAGUGCUACGCCCCCUCCCGGCUGAGGGUCAGCGGCAAACCUCACCAGCGCGCCCUGCCCACCUGCAUCCCAGGCCUGACUGAAAACACACGGACCAGGAGCGGCCCGAGGUGCCCCCAGCCCGACGGGGAACCUCUGCCCUUCCAAGCCGCGGCCGAGUCGGGGCCCAAGCAGCGCCGGCCGGAGGGAGAGCGGUGGCAGAGGAAGGGGGCGCCGCCUAGAGGAGGCCGGGGGCAGGGCCACGUCCUGGGGCUAGGAGGCUCGCGGCGCGGGGCUGCUGGGGUUACCUGCCUGCCGCAGCUCAGCCAACGGCCCCUGGGGCUGCGAGUGCCUCGCGCUCUGCGCGGCGCCGCCGCCUCACAGCCCGCCAGGACAGGCGUCAGGCGGGGCGCGCGGGGGGGGCUCAGGGACUCGCCCAACGGUCACUCGGGGUGGGGGCGGAGCUGGCCCCUUUCCGCUCUCUCCCCACUCCUAGGACCCCAGCGCCGGCUCUGGCCUAUGCCGGUUCCGCGGUUUGCAGGCGGCUUCUUUGGACGCCAAGGCCCCCGGCGGGCCCCUUUGGCCCGGGACCGGCCCCGCCCCGUCUCCGCUACAGCGGGAGGAGCCCCGCGAACGCGCUCCGCCGAGCGCGCCGCCCGGUGUCUCGGUGGCGGCCAUGGCGGCUGCCUCGCAGCGGGACCCCGGGGACUGGCAGGAUUUUUCCGGCUUCCAGCCCCCCGCAGGGAGCAGCCCCGAGCCGGCCCGGGACGGGGGCACCUGGGGGCCCGGAGACCUGGGGGACAAGCUGCUCCUCUGCUUCAAGCCCCCCCCACCUCGGGACGGCGGCAGCGAGAGCCGGGUCCCGCUGCGGCCCCUCAGCGAGCAGAGCGCCCUACGGGAAGACGAGAUUUGGAAUGCUUUGACUGAUAAUUAUGGUAAUGUAAUGCCAGUUGAUUGGAAGUCCUCCCACACCAGAGCUUUGCAUAUGCCAACACUGAAUCUCUCAGAAAGAGGGUUAAAUGAAAAUUUGAACCUUGACCUAUCAGAUGAUGAAGAGCUUAGAGAACAGCUGGAUAUGCACUCUAUCAUAGUUUCCUGCAUCAGUGAUGAACCACUGUUCACAGCAGAGCAGGUGAUUGAAGAAAUAGAGGAAAUGAUGCAGGAAUCACCUGACCCAGAAGACGAAGAAACACCCAUGCAGUCAGACCGGCUCUCCAUACUUUCCCAGGAAAUUCAAACACUCAAGAGGUCAAGUACAAACAACAGUUAUGAAGAGAGAGUACAAAAACUGUCUGUUGCUGAACUAAAUGAACUACUAGAAGAAAUUGAGACUGCCAUUAAGGAUUAUUCUGAGGAGCUGGUGCAGCAGUUGGCUCUAAGGGAUGAGCUGGAGUUUGAAAAGGAAGUGAAAAAUAGCUUCAUUUCUGUCCUCAUUGAAGUACAAAACAAACAGAGAGAACACAAAGAAACAGUGAAGAAGAAGAAAAAGCUGAAAAAUGGUAGUCCUCAGAAUGGCAAACAAGAAAGAGGUCAUAUGCCUGGAACACGCUUCAGCAUGGAAGGGAUCUCAAAUGUCAUUCAGAAUGGCUUCCGCCACACGUUUGGAAACUCGGGUGGAGAGAAACAGUACUUAACAACAGUCAUUCCUUAUGAGAAGAAAAGUGGACCACCCAGUGUUGAAGAUCUACAAACAUUAACCAAAAUCCUUUAUGCUAUGAAAGAGGACAGCGAGAAAGUGCCAAGCUUAUUAACAGACUACAUUUUAAAGGGUAGUCUCUCUUCAUUGGAAAUGUUGAGGAUUUCUUGAUCAAGAUCAAGACCAGAACAACAGUGAGAAUUUUGGGGCAGAAUGCCACUUUCUAGAAGCACAGAUUUCUGUGUCCGACAUGAAAAGUGCUGCUUUACUUCAGAAGUAACCAUGCUCCUUCCUGUGACAAGAAGCUUUCAAGAGAUAGUUCAUAGUAUUUUCUUUUCAUUUGGCACUGUAUCUAAACCUGUAUGUAUUUACUUUCCAUGUCUGUUUGGAUUUUUGGAUCAUACAGUAGGCCUUUUAGGCAUGAUAGAAUGUAUGCACUUUUCAUUUGAUGGUGCAAUGUGCUUGAGCGUAGAACAAACAUUGUAAAGUUUUACUCACAAGCUUUGGUUUGGCUUUUUAAAAUCUAUUUUACAUUGUGUAACAUGUAGUAAUCCCUCCCACAUAUUUCACUGUUGGGGAAAGGAAACUAAACUUUAAAUACUGUAAAUAAAAUAAGCCUAUAAUUUUAACUAAUCUGCAGUAAAAAAAAAAAAAAAAAAAAAAACCAAAAAACAAAAAAAACCCUCUGUUCUUAUCUCAAACAUGCAAAAGGGAUCAUAGCCAAGCCUGCCCUGAAGAAUUCCAUUGAAGUUCUUCAGUGGACGCUCCAAAACAGUGAUAGUGGAAACUGGCACUGAACACUUUUUUUAAAA